rnacentral:rRNA from 1 species
UACGUAGGGGGCAAGCGUUGUCCGGAAUCAUUGGGCGUAAAGCGCGUGUAGGCGGCUCGGUAAGUCUGCUGUGAAAGUCCAGGGCUCAACCCUGGAAUGCCGGUGGAAACUGUCAAGCUUGAGUCCGGAAGAGGCGAGUGGAAUUCCUGGUGUAGCGGUGAAAUGCGCAGAUAUCAGGAGGAACACCAAUGGCGAAGGCAGCUCGCUGGGACGGUACUGACGCUGAGACGCGAAAGCGUGGGGAGCAAACAGG